UCCCAGGUAGCUCAUAUGGUAAAGAAUCUGCCUGCAAUGCGGGAAACCUGGGUUUGAUCCCUGGUUUGGGAA
rfam:TPA: Bos taurus chromosome 2, whole genome shotgun sequence.